rnacentral:ncRNA from 1 species
AAACCUCACCCAGCUUGGACACAGACAGGUCUGACAGAUUGAGGUGUUUCUCAGUUCCAUGAGUGGUGGCGCCUGGCCAUUCUUGCUGGAGCAAUUUGUCUGGUUAAUUCCAAUAACAAACAAGACUCUGUCAUGCUAACUAGUUAUGCAACCCACCAGUGGUUGACCUCCAACUUCUUCACAGGACAAGUGGCAUUCAGCAACAGGAGAUAAAGCAACAACAAAUUUGUGAUGCCCUUUGCUGUG